CACGUAGGGCGCAAGCGUUGUCCGGAAUUAUUGGGCGUAAAGAGCUCGUAGGCGGUCUGUUGCGUCUGCUGUGAAAACUCGGGGCUUAACCCCGAGCCUGCAGUGGAUACGGGCAGACUAGAGGUAGGUAGGGGAGAAUGGAAUUCCCGGUGUAGCGGUGAAAUGCGCAGAUAUCGGGAGGAACACCGGUGGCGAAGGCGCCGCUCUGGGCCGACACUGACGCUGAGGAGCGAAAGCGUGGGUAGCAAACAGG
rnacentral:rRNA from 1 species